rnacentral:rRNA from 1 species
AUGGCAACCAGUCAAAGCAUAGCACCUUCGUUCUUCAGCUUCCUAAAGGAAGGCGUCCUCCUCCCGACCCGCAACCGGAGGCUCUUCAUAGCGGUCGGCGCCAUCAUCGUCGCCUCCACCACGCUCCUCCUCCUCGGCAGCGACCUCGCCCUCCAACCCCUCGCCGACGAGAUCCAGCUCGACGUCAAGGCGCUAAACGGCACCGACCCGGGCAGCCUGGAGUACGCCAAGCUCGUACAGGAGAUCCAGAAUGACACCAAGGAGCUCCUGCUCGUAGGCGCGGGGUACAUCCUGUUCGCGGUCGUCGUCAGCUCCGCCGUCCGGAUCCUCCUCCUCUUCGCCACCGUCUUGACGUACUCCGGCGAGCAGCGUGCUACCUUCAGCGAGCUCCUCGGAAAAGCUAACGCGCACCUGAAGGGGCCCUUGCUCACGCUCGCCUUCGUCUACGUCCUCGAGAUCGUCUACAUCGUGUUUCUGGCGUUGAUGGGGGCACUUCUCGUUGUUCUCAUAGUGAAGCAGUACUUCGUGUUGCUCAUCCUGGCGUCGCUGCUAGUCCUCUCCGCGGCCAUCUCCCUCGUGUACUUCUCCUUCGUCUGCUCUUUCAGCGUCGUCGUGGCGGUGGCCGAGCCCGGCUGCCACGGCGCAGCCGCGUUAGGUAGGGCGUGUAGGCUGGCGAAGGGGAAGAAGUGGCAGGUCGUGCUGUUCGUCGCCGUUACCAGUGCCUUGGCCACCGUCCUAUCGCAAGUGCACACGCUCGCGAGGACAUGUGCGGGUAGUAGCGUGGCACUUGGGUUGCUCCUGGGUUUUGUGUACGCGGUUCUGAUGGCACUCGUGCAGUUGUUCGCCGUCUGUGCCAUGACCGCGUUCUACUACGAGCGCAGGGAGAACAUCGACGGCCAGCUGGGGGAUACUGUAUACGCCAAGUUAUCAACGGAAGAAGCAAACGCUUGA